ACCAUGUUUGCCAGGAUGGUCUCAAUCUCCUGACCUCGUGAUCCGCCCGCCUCGGCCUCCCAAAGUGCUGGGAUUACAGGUGUGAGCCACUGCGCCCAGCACCCUGCUCCCUUAUUAAUUGCUGUGGCUCUCAGUCCUCCAGGAAGGCUACAUGGUUAGGGGUUGACCAAGUCCCACCUGCCUGCUGCCUGUGCCAUUCCUGCAGAGCUCCAGCCGUCUAGGAGUACUGGGUUAAGUGUAUUUUAAAACCAAGGCCAGGGCUGGGUAUGGUGGCUCAUGCCUGUAAUCCCAACAGUUUGGGAGGCCGAGGCAGGUGGAUCACUUGAGGUCACGAGUUCGAAGCCAGACUGGCCAACAUGGUGAAACCCCGUCUCUACUAAAAAUACAAAAAUUAGCUGGGUAUGGUGGUGCACACCUGUAAUCCCAGCUACUCGGGAGGCUGAAGCAGGAGAAUCGCUUGAACCCAGGAAGAGGAGGUUGCAGUGAACUGAAAUCACGCCACUGCACUCCAGCCUGCCUGAGCGACAGAGCAAGACUCUGUCUCAAAAAAACAACAACAACAAGGCCAAAUGUCACCCCAUGAUCUUACAAGGGAACAGUCAGAAUCCAAAUCCUAAGCACACAAAGCUACUUUCUUAAGGGCAAUGGGAGAGGGAAAUUGUGAUGGCCCCAAGCUAGAACCUAAAUUACACCUUUACUUUAGAACUGAGUAUAGAAGGAUACAUAUCCUAGGGCACAGAUGGGACACCUCUGUCCAUGCUAGAAGAAUUCUAUGUGUGUUUGGAGGUGGCAUAGCAUACCUGUUAGAAAGGCUUUGCUAUUUACUACUGUGGGACCACAAGCAAGUUAUCUCUUUUCUGAACCUCAGUUUCCUCAACUAUAAAAAAGAGAUACGGAUGCUUAGCUAAUAUUGCUGGAAUUGAAUGCAGAAAUGAAACAAAGCUUUUAGCACAGGGCUUUACCCUAACAGGCACUUUCUGUUAAGAGUGGUUUAUUACCAGGUAGGUAACUAAGCAAGGAAGAUGUGUGUUAAUCAAUUUGGCAUGAGAUUUAAAAAUUAUUACCCAACACAUUAUUUUCACUAAAGUAUCCUUGGUUAAAACUCAGUUAAUACUAGCAUUCAAUAAGAUAACUCAAAUUUCUCCAAAAAAAUGGACAAAUUGGAUUUCUUCAAUUCAGUUGACUUACAAAAUGGUUUUAAUAUGAGAAUUGUCUAGUCAUAAGUUGUCACUCAAGAACAAAAAUUAUCUGUUCUGGCACUAACUGGCAUGUGAUUCUGGUGAGGCACAUCAUGACUCUGGGUCUCCUCUACAAACGAGGGGGUUGUGGGAGUGCCCUGGUUCCUUCCAUCUUGAACAUUCUGUGAUUCCAAAGUAGCACUCCAGCAUAGCCCUGAUUUACUUCUAGUUCCUUUCCUUUUCAGGACAUUGACAUAGAGUAGAACUUGCUUCCAAUACGUCUUAAAGGUUAAAUGUUACACACAGUGUACAGUCAAUGCAAGGAGGCCUGCACACAGUGAACUUCUGUCUAGGACUGCGGCCGGUAAGACCUUCCUGUGUGGACCGCAGCACUGCUCGGGAAAGCUGCCUGCAGGAGCUGUGAAGUUGCAGAAUUUUGAUUUAUUGGGAUGCAUCCUGGUGCUUGCCUACAGAUCUUGUUUUGCAAAGUGCAGAGGCAAUACAUGGAGAUGCAGCAGCCGUCUUGUGAUCAUGAGGACAAAGAUCAUUUACCAAGGAUGACAGAAGAGAAAGUUAGCAAGAGCCUUGACCCCUGAUGAGGUGAAGUCAUUUCACCAGCCUAGCACAGCUUCUAGUCUUCUUGGGAAUUCAUUCCACCCUGAAACAUUUUGGGGCCUGUACUAGAUACUGGAGACACAAAGGAGACUAGAACAUUCUCUGUCGUUGAAUUAUUCUCAGUCAAGUGAAGACAGAAACUGGUCUGAAAAUUUUGAAUAAUAAAGCCAUUUGUGACAGAGACGCAGCUCAUAUUGGAAGUGGAACUUACAUUUCCUGACUCAUAAUGAAGACCUCUAUGCUCAACACCACAUACAAAACAUGUGCGAUGUAUAAAAUGGAUGUUGCAAAUUCAUCCCACCUCCCGCUGCAGCUAUGAUACUCAGAGAAAGGUUGGGACGAGGCCUGCAGAGGAUGUGUUCUGGGUAUUUGGUGGCCUGCUGGUGAGCACUGGUGUUCCUUGAGGUCAACCUGUGCUGAGGACAGGAAUAUUUCACCCAAGUACAUAACUAAGAGAAGAUCACUCCCAGAAGAUUUCAUCCCCAAAAGCAAGAAGGUGAAGGACACUUGUACCCAGACAGUGAGAUCCACUGCCUCCUGCCAUGCUUUUAGCUCCCCCCACUGCUGAGCCCUCCUGACCAGAAAACCUGACGGGGCCGCCUUCUUCAUCCCUCAGUCUCACAGAGGUCCCAUAAAACUGAACCAGGCUUGGUGCUGACAGUGGGCCAGGGCAAUGUAGGCUCACUGGAGCUGGGUGAGAGUGUGACA